AUUGAACGCUGGCGGCAUGCCUUACACAUGCCAGUCGAACGGCAGCACGGGUGCUUGCACCUGGUGGCGAGUGGCGAACGGGUGAGUAAUACAUCGGAACAUGUCCUGUAGUGGGGGAUAGCCCGGCGAAAGCCGGAUUAAUACCGCAUACGAUCUACGGAUGACAGCGGGGGACCUUCGGGCCUCGCGCUAUAGGGUUGGCCGAUGGCUGAUUAGCUAGUUGGUGGGGUAAAGGCCUACCAAGGCGACGAUCAGUAGCUGGUCUGAGAGGACGACCAGCCACACUGGGACUGAGACACGGCCCAGACUCCUACGGGAGGCAGCAGUGGGGAAUUUUGGACAAUGGGCGAAAGCCUGAGCCAGCAAUGCCGCGUGUGUGAAGAAGGCCUUCGGGUUGUAAAGCACUUUUGUCCGGAAAGAAAUCCUUGGCCCUAAUACGGUCGGGGGAUGACGGUACCGGAAGAAUAAGCACCGGCUAACUACGUG
rnacentral:rRNA from 1 species